CGACAUGGAACUCCUUCCCCGUCAACAAAGCUGAGGCCCUUUUCCUCUCCACCACUACCGUCCUCCCCUCUCAAGAUGAAUGGCUCCGGCGGUCGGAACCCUGGCCAGGAGCCGUUCUUGCCCCUCGGCGGUGGCGGCCGUGACCCCGGGGGCGCGCCCUUGGCGAGCCACGACCCCUUCCUACCCCUCCUCAACCUCUCCGCCCUCGGCCAGAAGAUGGACUCCCUCCGCCGCUUCCUCUCUGAUGCCAUAGACAGUCGCACCGUCAUCGGCGAUGACCAGCUACAGAUGGUCUCCUCCCAUAUCGCCUCGGCCGUCCAGGGGAUCAUCCUCAACGGCGCCGCUCUUCUCGCCUCCUCCCAACCGCUUAAUCCCUCCCCCUCCUUCGCUGCCGCUGCUGGUCCCACCUCUCGAGAUGCAGUGACCCCUCGCUUCGCCGAGACCAGAUCCGGUAGUCCGCCGUCCAUCCAAUUCGGAAACGGAUCCGAGCCGCCGACCUCGGAUCCGGCGGCGGCGAUCGGGGAGGAGGACGACAUAGUGGAGAUCGAUGCUGCAGAGCUUCUGGCGGAACAUGUCCACCUCUGCGAGAUCUGCGGCAAGGGUUUCAAGCGUGACGCGAACCUCCGGAUGCACAUGAGAGCUCACGGCGACCGGUUCAAGACCCUGGAAGCCCUCUCGAAGCCGGACCGGGAAGUUCGCCCGUCGGAUGGCGGGGAGGCGGUACCCGGGAGAAGAGUUAGGUUCUCUUGCCCGUAUCCCGGGUGCAACAGGAACCGGGCGCACAAGAAGUUCCGACCACUCAAGUCGGUGGCGUGCGUGAAGAACCACUUCAAGAGGAGCCACUGCCCCAAGAUGUAUUCUUGCCACCGGUGCAAUAAGAAGAACUUCUCGUUGGUGGCUGACCUUAGGAGCCACCUCAAGCAUUGCGGAGUGACCCGGUGGCGGUGCUCGUGUGGGACAAGCUUCUCGAGGAAGGAUAAGCUUUUUGGGCAUAUCACUCUGUUCGAGGGGCACAUGCCAGCGGUUGAAGUGGGUGCGGAGGAGGAAGUGAAGAAGAAAGGUGUGAUUUUGGAAGUAGACGAAGAAGAAGAGGAAGGAGUUGGAGGAGCAGAGAAGGAUGGCGAGGGUUUUGAUUCUGAAUUUUUUAAGGGCAUAAUGGAGGAUUUUGAUGAGAUUGAGCGUCGAAGCGGAAGGAUGCGUUAGCAUCUCUGUGAAAUACAUCAAAGAGACUUGUGUAGGGAUGGUGAGCAGACGAAGCCUCCCAACUGUUCCUCUUGUAAUUUAGGUGAUCAUAUGCCAACCCUCUUGUAUCUGGUUUUCAGUGGGCAGUCCGUUUUAGCAAUCAAACAGGUUGCCUAUAGAGAUGACAGACCUAGAUGCUUCGUCAUCUCCGGGCAACGACAAGGAGACAGAACGCAUUUUGGUGCAUUCUCCAGAAUCUUUCAUCUUGACCUGAGCUAAACUUAUGCAUUACAAGGCUCUGGAAGUUGUAGGUCAUCACUUCCACUCUGAAAGCUUGUAAAACAGUACAAGAUGCAAAGAACAAGCGUGUGGGUAGAGUAUCUGUAUAUAUGAUGUUUAAGGUCUACCUUUUCCUAUCUAAUUUUACUUAUGAUAAUUAGUUGUACAACAUUUCUCUUUUUAUAUUUUUGGUGCAACCUUAAUAAGGAGUUGAUAAGAAAGUCAUUUAUCAUAUGUUUUUAAGCA